rnacentral:tRNA from 3 species
CUAAGGAUGGUUCUUCAGAAGCUUGCUUCUAUCGAACCGUUUUAGAAACAUCAGUGGCCAACGGUCGUCAGGAUCGUUGAGCUGCAUUGGCGGGAUUUCGCCGUCUUCGUUUCUCUUUCUUCGCGGACGAACACGCGCUGGGGCUGCAACCUUGCAGAAUCCCUGGUCCUUGACUGGAUAUGCGUUAGGGGCUUGUAGCUCAGUUGGUUAGAGCGCGCGCUUGAUAAGCGUGAGGUCGGAAGUUCAAGUCUUCCCAGGCCCACCACACUCAUCGAGUGAGCAUUCGUCUUCUGGUUACGGGGCCAUAGCUCAGCUGGGAGAGCGCGUGCUUUGCAAGCAUGAGGUCGUCGGUUCGAUCCCGUCUGGCUCCACCAGAUGGUUUGAUCACCGACUACUCAUACCGUCGUCCGCGAAACAUCACUUCGCACUUACUAGUCCGGAUGGACAGUAAGCUGCGUGAUUUCUGACAUCGUAAAGAGGAGAUCGAUCCGAGUUGGAUCGGGCAACAAGUAAUUGUUGCGCGAUACUUCAUUAUCUCCGGAUCAUUUCGGCGCUCGUGCGUCUUUUGGCGUAGCUCACAAGGCUGCAUUGAAAGACAAGCGAGUUGUAAAUGAUCCUUUUAGCGAAGCUUGACCGCCUCGCUAUCGGAACGAUCUUACGAAGCAAGCUGGUCUUUCUAAUCAUUGUCCGGCUGCAGAUAGCGUUCAUCGAGGGCGCGUGCCGCAAGGCAGUUCUGCAGACAACAUUCUGCCGAGUGUGUGGACAUUGAUAAUGAGAGC